rnacentral:rRNA from 1 species
AACGAACGUUGGCGGCGUGGAUUAGGCAUGCAAGUCGAACGAAUCCCUGGGGGCUUGCUCCCAGGGGGAAGUGGCGAAAGGGGCAGUAAGGCGUGGGUAACCUACCCCGGGGACCGGGAUAGCUAUCCUAACGGAUGGGUAAUACCGGGCGAUUUGGCGGAACCGCAUGGCUCUGCCAGGAAAUGAGUUUCGCCUCGGGAGGGGCUCACGUGGUAUUAGCUAGUUGGUGAGGUAAUAGCUCACCAGGCUGAGAUGCCUAGCGGGUGUGAGAGCACGA